rnacentral:rRNA from 1 species
AUUGAACGCUGGCGGCGUGCUUAACACAUGCAAGUCGAUCGGUAACAGGUGUAGCAAUACAUGCUGACGAGAGGCGGACGGGUGAGGAACGCUUGGGAAUCUGCCUAUCAGCGGGGGACAACCCGGGGAAACUCGGGCUAAUACCGCAUACGCUCUACGGAGGAAAGCCGGGGACCGCAAGGCCUGGCACUGAUAGAUGAGCCCAAGUCGGAUUAGCUAGUUGGCGGGGUAACGGCCCACCAAGGCGACGAUCCGUAGCUGGUCUGAGAGGACGAUCAGCCACACCGGAACUGAGACACGGUCCGGACUCCUACGGGAGGCAGCAGUGGGGAAUAUUGGACAAUGGGGGAAACCCUGAUCCAGCGACGCCGCGUGGGUGAAGAAGGCCUGCGGGUUGUAAAGCCCUUUCGGUAGGGAAGAAAUCUCUUGCUCUAACAAAGCAGGAGUUUGACUUAACCUACAUAAGAAGCACCGGCUAACUCUGUGCCAGCCGCCGCAGUAACAC